UCAUAACAAGAGAAAUUUAUUGCUCACAGUUCUGGAGCCUGGGAAGUCCAAGAUCAACGUACCAGCAGAUUCAGAUGAAGGCGUGUUCUCAGCUUCAUAGGUGGUGCAUUCUUGCUGCUUCUUCACAUGAUGGAAGGAGUGAACAAGCUCCCUUGGGCCUCUUUUACAAAGAUGGCAAAGAAGGAGAGAAGAGAAGAAGUAGCCAGACAUUGGAAAGAAACAGCUUGACUUCAGAGGAAUGGCUUGAUGGUGGGACUUAGGAGAAGUGUACAGCAGGGGACUGCUGGACUCCAUGGGAAGAUCACCUUCCCACUCCAUCCCCCUUCCAGCUCCCCAUCCUGCUGGGAGCCACUUUCAUCAGUAAUAAAAUUCUCCGCAUUCAUCACCCUUCAAUUUUUUCAUGCAACCUUGGUUGCAAGGACUCAGGUGGAGAGACGAAGGAUCAAGCAAUGUGACUGGUAGAAACUGUGUUAUACAAGGUAAACCAAGAGAGAAUUGUGCAAAAAUGUCUUCAGGGUCACUUCUUUCCCUAACUUGGUCCCUCAGAGUUCUUUCCACUAGAUAUCCAGUGUGUUCAACCUAACUCCUAUCUGCAGUGGGCCUCCAAAUAUUGCACCCCUAUGGGCAGGGCUGUGUGUCAUUUCCCUGGCCCCUAUCUGGGUCAAAACUGUCAUUCCUCCAGGGACCUGCUGGGCAACUAGCAAACUAAUCUUCAAUGUAUUUUACCCAAGGUGUUAAUGACAGAUAAUGGCUUAAUGCAUUACCCCUCCCAGCUAACAUUUCCAUUUUAAUAGAGCCUUUAAAUGCUUUAACCUGAAGGAAACAGCAUGAAAAAUGCAGGGAUAGCAAAUAUCUGGCACCUUUGCUCCUUCCCUGUUCCUGGAAGACAUCUUCAAAUGGUCACUGAGGCUUUUCCUGCUAUGCCUGGACAUACCCUGAGAAGCCCAUAGGGCCCUGGGCAGCCCCUACCAGCCUAUGAUGGGAGUUACCAUGCAAGAUGAAAUCUAUUUGCCAACCUUAUCGUGAAACAAAUAUUUGUCCAGGAGUAAAAAGACCUGAAUUCUACUUUGGGGCUUUGACAUUACCUGGACAUAGGGCCUAAACAAAUUUAUUAGACAUUUCCAAGUCUCAGUUUCCUUACCCAUAAAAUGAGAGGACUGGCAUUAGAGUCAAGCAUUUCCAAAGCAUAGUUCUCAAUCUGCCAGGGACUCUCAAAAUCUGACCUCACAGCUCUCCAAGCUGGUUGCUGCUACCACGUACCUCUUCCCAUUUUUGCCUUGCUUCCCACAAGGGAAGGAAAUUCACUCCCAACUGGGCACCACCUUUCUAUCUCUAUUUGGGGACCUUCCUGUCCCUGAAAGGCCCUGGGAACAUAAUGUAAAGCAACUAUGGGGGCAGCUGCUAAGAAGCCAGAUCUUGUGACACUAAGAGUCCAGUCACGUGGUUCAGAGUCCACAGCAACCUGUGGCGACUAUGCAGUCAUCAGCCAGAGAGGCAGAGCCUCUGUCUGGAGAUGUGUCAGAAAUGGGUGUGACUAGUCCCAGACACAUCAAGUGAGGAAAAAUCAGGUGUGCAGAUUACGUUGUGUAAAUGCCUUUCUAAUUCUCAAUGCUCCAGGAAGGAAUCUCAGAGAUUAAAUUAAGCUGUUAACCCUCUAGGCGCUCCUGUCGUUUAUUGUUAAGGAAUUAAUAGGAAUGCGGGAAUGCAGAUGGCCUGGCUGUCAGCUCGGAGAGGCGAUUUUUCUGAUCUCCAAGGAGGUUUCCAGCAUCUUUCAUUAAGCACUCGUGUACCAACUUGUCAUUUUAACCGAGCAGCAAAGAAACUCCCACUCAACUGCCUACCUCAGGUGCUGGGAGUGCAAUCCUCGGAGGAGUCUUUCUGGGUUGCAGGUGCAGGGGAGGCGCCCAGGUGAUGGGGGUGGGGUGCAGCGAGAAAUGGAUUUAAAGCCACUCCAGGAAGGAAAUCGGAUCCCAAAACCUGGUUGUCCUGGGCACAGGCUUCAGGUGACUGCAGAAGAUUCCUCUCUAGCAAUCCUGAACUGAGCAGAGAUGUGAAAACUUACUUCUUUCCGCUUUCUCGAAGCGCUCCAGGACGCAGGUGGCACGCUCAACGCGGGGAGGCGCCACCUACAGGACAGAGGAAGACCUGCAGCUUGGGCUUGAGAUUUCAACAGUCUGUGGCGGGGGCUGAUGAGGGCGGCCCCUCCUCCUCCUGGAGUAAUAAUAGUCCCUGACAUUUAUCGAAUGCUCUUCUCGUGCCAGACACUGUCCUGAGCACUUGACAUGUAUUAAUGAUUUUAAACCUCACAACAACCCUAUUAGCUUUGGUUUACCAUUUUUUGAGACUCGCUUACUCGUCUGGAAAGGAAAUCUUUGCUAAGCUUGGUCUCUUGCACCUCUACCCUUUGCCACGAGAAGAGCAUGCCCUUGUCACUUCGGCCUGAGUCCCAGAAUGAGAAGUUACAUGGAGCAGACCUGAACAAGAUUCACAACCUGAACAGAAUCACUGCAGCCAAUCCACAAACCUAAAAUUGUCUACAUUCCUGCCUGGGCAUGGUGGCUCAUGCCUGUAAUCCAGCACUUUGGGAGGCCGAGGUGGGCGAGUCACUUGAGUCAGGAGUUCGAGACCAGCCUGGCCAACAUGGUGAAACCCUGCCUCUACUAAAAAUACAAAAAAUUAGCUGAGCAUGGUGGUGCAUGACUGUAAUCCCAGCUACUUGGGAGGCUGGGUCAGGAGAAUCGCUUUAACUGGGAGGUGGAGGUUGCAGUGAGCCAAGAUCACGCCACUGCACUCCAGAGUGGGAAACAGAGCAAGACUCCACCUCAAAAAGAAGAAGGAGAAGGAGAAGGAGAUUAUCUACAUUCCUGAGGAGGAGAAGUUGUACUUAAACUACCUUGAUCCAACUUCCAGCUUUACAAUCAUUGCCCCCCACCAUGCAUAUAUCAUACAUAUAUACCUGCUAGCAUGAAUACCUGCAUCAUAUCUAGAAUUAAUGGGAAUAGUCAUAGGGCCAAUCUUUCUUAUAUCAAGCAAGCUGAACAAGGGUCCAAGGGAUAAGGCCACAGCUACUUCCUCCUGCUUUAGAACAGAGCUAAAUAAACCUGUUCCUAAGUCUUGUGAGUUAUUGCAUCCUUGCCUUAUAAGGAAUGAAGACUUAACCUGCUUCCUGGCAGUCAUUACUAACUGAGUGAAGAUUCCCAUUAAUCCAGAAAUGGGAGCCUCUCUGGCUUGCAUAUGUCCAGGAAUGGACAUACCACCCACAGUUUUACUCCUGGUGGCCAAUCGGUCCCGCACACAAACACAGGCACAUCUUUUAUUUAAUGCUCAAGAUUUGUGAACAACUCCCAGCACUGUGCCUUCCAAAGGGCUUGCAUUAAGUGCUGGUGAAGGAGCAGGGACCUCUAUCAUGGCCAGAGCCAGUCAAUAAUGACACCCUGGCAGCUCUCAAAGGUGCACGAGUGGAAUGGCCAUUGAGCUACUCCAUGCAAUGAAAAGUUCUAAUGGGGAGUGGGGACACUUCUCUCCCCAGUCCCAUCCCAUGGCUUGGCUGAAAAUUUUUUUCUUUUGGGAGAUCACUGGCUUUCUCCAGCAACCUUGACUAUAAGGAUGAGGAUGAGGAGAAAAAAUAAGAACUGCCGAGUGUGGUGGCUCACGCCUGUAAUCCCAGCACUUUGGGAGGCUGAGGUGGGUGGAUCACAAAGUCAGGAGUUCAAAACCAGCCUGGCCAAGAUGGUGAAAUCCCGUUUCUACUAAAAAUACAAAAGAAAAAAAAAUUAGCCAGGCGUGGUGGCGAGUGCCUGUAAUCCCAGCUACUGGUGAGGCUAAGGCAGAGAAUUGCUUGAACCAGGGAGGCAGAGGUCACAGUGAGCCGAGAUCAUGCCACUGCACUCCAGCCUUUGCAACAGAGUGAGACUCUGUCUCAAAAAAAAAAAAAGUACACAGGGGAGGUUGUGGGGAAUUUGGAAUAUUCCCUAAGGAUUUCCUCCAUUGAAGAGGUCUGCUUUAAAGUACUGGGGGUCCACAAACUCACCCCAUUUCCAGCUUGGCCUUGGGAGAAGAGGAGGACAGAGAACAGAAUUCUGGAUUGUUACUAGGUAGUUGGGCUGCAUCAGGAAGACAUUUUGGUAGAAGGAGAGGAAAGAGAGGUAGGAAGUGGGAAGGGAAGCACUAAGGGUUUUUUUUUUGACCCUGAUCCCCUUAGCUAGACAAGCUCAGUGGGGCUUAGGAUGGAGGUCAGGGAUAGCCUAAGAUCCUGUUACUGAAAGGGUAGUCUCCAGCCAGCAGCAUCAGCAUCACCUGGCUCUUAGGCUUCACCCCAGACCUACUGAAUCAGAAACUGCAUUUUAAUCCCUAGGUGAUAAGUAUGUCCAAUAAAAUUUCAGAAGCAUUAGCCUAGAUGCUUCAAUGGGAAUAACUUCUUGCAGUGAGCUAUUGAGGAACUGUGCUGGAUAAUCUCUCUGCCCUUCCAAAUCCACUUGCCAUCCUUAUUCCCCUGCUCUUGGGACUAAGAAGUGAAUUGAUGAAUUCGCUUCCUUUAUUCAUUGCUUCAACAGGCUCCCUUGUCAUCUGGCUUCUGGUUGGGCUCAGCCAAUGGUCAGUGCUCAAGAAGCAGUGACUUAAGUGACAUUAAUAGUGACUUUACCAGCCAGGCAGGGUGGCUCAUGCCUGUAAUCCCAGCACUUUGGGUGGCCAAGACGGGUGGAUCACCUGAGGUCAGGAGUUUGAGACCAGCCUGGCUAACAUGGUGAAAUCCUG
rnacentral:lncRNA from 10 species